rnacentral:rRNA from 1 species
UACAGAGGGGGUAAGCGUUGUUCGGAAUUACUGGGCGUAAAGGGCGCGUAGGCGGCCAACUAAGUCAGACGUGAAAUCCCUCAGCUUAACCGGGGAACUGCGUCUGAUACUGGAUGGCUUGAGUUUGGGAGAGGGAUGCGGAAUUCCAGGUGUAGCGGUGAAAUGCGUAGAUAUCUGGAGGAACACCGGUGGCGAAGGCGGCAUCCUGGACCAACACUGACGCUGAGUGAGCGAAAGCCAGGGGAGCAAACGGG